CCCAGUCCAUCCCAGUUAACCCCAGUCCAUCCCAGUCCAUCCCAGUCCCUCCCAGUUAACCCCAGUUCCAUCCCAGUCCGUCCCAGUCCAUCCCAGUUCAUCCCAGUCCAUCCCAGUUCCAUCCCAGUCCAUCCCAGUUCCAUCCCAGUCCCUCCCAGUCUCAUCCCAGUCCCUCCCAGUUAACCCCAGUUCCAUCCCAGUUCCAUCCCAGUCCCACCCCAGUUUGUCCCAGUUCUAUCCCAGUUCCAUCCCAGUUAACCCCAGUCCAUCCCAGUCCAUCCCAGUUCCAUCCCAGUUCAUCCCAUUCCAUCCCAGUUAACCCCAGUCCAUCCCAGUCCAUCCCAGUCCAUCCCAUUCCAUCCCAGUUCCAUCCCAGUCCCAUCCAGUCCCCCCCAGUCCAUCCCAGUUCGCCCCAGUUCAUCCCAGUUCCAUCCCAGUUCAUCCCAGUUCCUUCCCUGGGUGUGUCCCACCUCUGCCCAGUACAGACCAGUACACCCCAGUAACAGCUCCCAGUACAGACCAGUACACCCCAGUAACAGCUCCCAGUACAGACCAGUAACAGCUCCCAGUACAGACCAGUACAGACCAGUAACGGCUCCUAAUACAUAUUAAUUUUCCCAGUACAGACCAGUAACAGCUCCCAGUACAAACCAGUACAGACCAGUACAGCCCAGUAACAGCUCCCAGUACAGACCAGUACAAACCAGUACACACCAGUACAGCCCAGUAACAGCUCGGGGUCCAGGUAGGGGCAGGGCUGGUUUGGGGUGAAUUUGGGGUGAAUUUUUGGGGUGAAUUUUGGGGUGAAUUUGGGGUAUUUUGGGGUAUUUUUGAGGUGUAUUUUGGGUGAUUUUUGAGGAUAUUUCUGGGAUAUUUUUGGGGUGAAUUCGGGGUGUUUUGGGUCCCCUCUCAGAUGGCCACGCUGUUCUCGAUGUUCUCAGGAUCCAGGUAGGGGCGGGGCUGGUUUGGGGUGAAUUUGGGGGAUUUUUGGGAUGAUUUUUGGGGUGAUUUCGGGGUGUAUUUUUAGGAUAUUUUGGGGAUAUUUCUGGGAUAUUUUUGGGGUGAAUUCGGGGUGUUUUGGGUCCUCUCUCAGAUGGCCACGCUGUUCUCAAUGUUCUCAGGAUCCAGGUAGGGGCGGGCUGGUUUGGGGUGAAUUUUUGGGAUAUUUUGGGGUGAAUUUUUGGGUAUUUUUGGGUGUAUUUCAGGGAUAUUUUUUGGGUGAUUUUGGGAUAUUUUUGGGGUGAAUUCGGGGUGUUUUGGGUCCCCUCUCAGAUGGCCACGCUGUUCUCGAUGUUCUCGGGGUCCAGGUAGGGGUAGGGCCGCUCCAGCCCCGCGUUCCGGGCCCGGAUCUCCCGGGAGAUUCGGCGCAGGCGGCGGCGGAAGCGGCGGAUCAGAGCCCGGGGGCGGCGCUCGGUGAAGUGACGGUCCGGGAAAUGGCCCAGGGGGCGCUGGGGGGGAACUGGGGUUACU